rnacentral:tRNA from 1 species
UGCUGAUCGUAGAGGCCGGAAUGAACUUCCGUCUUGUUCUCGAAGAUAUGAAGUUGAAUAGCCGUGGCUCUGGUCGUUCGACUGACGACCGAUUGGCGG